UACGGAGGGUGCAAGCGUUAAUCGGAAUUACUGGGCGUAAAGCGCGCGUAGGUGGUUUGGCAAGUCGGGUGUGAAAGCCCUGAGCUUAACUUGGGAAUUGCAUUCGAUACUGCCUGGCUAGAGUAUGGUAGAGGGAAGCGGAAUUCCGCAUGUAGCGGUGAAAUGCGUAGAUAUGCGGAGGAACACCAGUGGCGAAGGCGGCUUCCUGGACCAAUACUGACACUGAGGCGCGAAAGCGUGGGGAGCAAAC
rnacentral:rRNA from 1 species